GCAAUGGACGAAAGUCUGACCGAGCAACGCCGCGUGAGUGAAGAAGGUUUUCGGAUCGUAAAGCUCUGUUGUAAGUCAAGAACGUGUGUGAGAGUGGAAAGUUCACACAGUGACGGUAGCUUACCAGAAAGGGACGGCUAACUACGUGCCAGCAGCCGCGGUAAUACGUUAGGUCCCGAGCGUUGUCCGGAUUUAUUGGGCGUAAAGGGAGCGCAGGCGGUCAGGAAAGUCUGGAGUAAAAGGCUAUGGCUCAACCAUAGUGUGCUCUGGAAACUGUCUGACUUGAGUGCAGAAGGGGAGAGUGGAAUUCCAUGUGUAGCGGUGAAAUGCGUAGAUAUAUGGAGGAACACCAGUGGCGAAAGCGGCUCUCUGGUCUGUCACUGACGCUGAGGCUCGAAAGCGUGGGUAGCGAACAGGAUUAGAUACCCUGGUAGUCCACGCCGUAAACGAUGAGUGCUAUGUGUUAGGCCCUUUCCGGGGCUUAGUGCCGGAGCUAACGCAAUAAGCACUCCGCCUGGGGAGUACGACCGCAAGGUUGAAACUCAAAGGAAUUGACGGGGGCCCGCACAAGCGGUGGAGCAUGUGGUUUAAUUCGAA
rnacentral:rRNA from 1 species